GGCCUUCCCACAAGGGAAGGCC
rnacentral:misc_RNA from 1 species